rnacentral:rRNA from 1 species
GAGCGGAAACGAAGAGGUGCUUGCACCUCUGGCGUCGAGCGGCGGACGGGUGAGUAAUGCUUGGGAAUAUGCCUUAUGGUGGGGGACAACAGUUGGAAACGACUGCUAAUACCGCAUAAUGUCUACGGACCAAAGUGGGGGACCUUCGGGCCUCACGCCAUAAGAUUAGCCCAAGUGGGAUUAGCUAGUUGGUGAGGUAAUGGCUCACCAAGGCGACGAUCCCUAGCUGGUUUGAGAGGAUGAUCAGCCACACUGGGACUGAGACACGGCCCAGACUCCUACGGGAGGCAGCAGUGGGGAAUAUUGCACAAUGGGCGCAAGCCUGAUGCAGCCAUGCCGCGUGUGUGAAGAAGGCCUUCGGGUUGUAAAGCACUUUCAGUAAGGAGGAAAGGUUAGUCACUAAUAUUGGCUAGCUGUGACGUUACUUACAGAAGAAGCACCGGCUAACUCCGUGCCAGCAGCCGCGGUAAUACGGAGGGUGCGAGCGUUAAUCGGAAUUACUGGGCGUAAAGCGUACGCAGGCGGUUUGUUAAGCGAGAUGUGAAAGCCCCGGGCUCAACCUGGGAACUGCAUUUCGAACUGGCAAACUAGAGUGUGAUAGAGGGUGGUAGAAUUUCAGGUGUAGCGGUGAAAUGCGUAGAGAUCUGAAGGAAUACCGAUGGCGAAGGCAGCCACCUGGGUCAACACUGACGCUCAUGUACGAAAGCGUGGGGAGCAAACAGGAUUAGAUACCCUGGUAGUCCACGCCGUAAACGAUGUCUACUAGAAGCUCGGUUCUUCGGAACUGUUUUUCAAAGCUAACGCAUUAAGUAGACCGCCUGGGGAGUACGGCCGCAAGGUUAAAACUCAAAUGAAUUGACGGGGGCCCGCACAAGCGGUGGAGCAUGUGAUUUAAUUCGAUGCAACGCGAAGAACCUUACCUACACUUGACAUACAGAGAACUUACCAGAGAUGGUUUGAUGCUUCGGGACUCUGAUACAGGUGCUGCAUGCUGUCGUCAGCUCGUGUGUGAGAUGUGGGUAAGUCCCGCAACGAGCGCAACCCUAUCCUUAGUUGCAGCGAUUCGUCGGGAACUCUAAAGAAAACUGGCGGGGGAUAAUCCGGAAGAAAGAGGGGGAGCCAACACCAAGACACUCAUGGGGCCUUUACUUGUUAGGGGCUUACCACCGUGCUUAUAAUGGGGCGCAUACAAAAAAGGUUGCGUAACCAUGUCAGGCGGUAAGCGGAAAACACCUCCUAAUGUUGGGGUGCGCGGAAAAACCCCCGACAUGU